GGAGCAGGACUUCCUUCACAGUUGACUCAAUUGCUACCAACCCGGGAAUUGGAGGCAUCUCCUGGACCGACGCCGGCGGCAACCUCCUCGCGACGACGAUAGAACGGGCUUCAGUUUGCAGCUCCUCCACCACCUUAGCCUUCUUCGUGGCUCUCUUGCCGUCUUUGUAGCUCGAGACACAGUCGAAGGGGACUCCCCACAACCUCUUCCUCUUCCGGCAGGCUUCUUCCAUUUUGGCCGCUUCACCUGCUUCCGCUUCCACCCUCUUGAGCCAGUCGUCGACUUCCGGAGUGCGCUUGCUCCUUUCUCUCUCGGCGAUGUUGAUAUCUUCCAGGAUGCCAGCCCUCGUAGCUUUCAAUCUAUCCAUGGCGUCGGUUAGAGCUUUCACAUUUUCUCCACUGAGAUCUGUGAUGUGCGGGAUUAUAGCUUCCGCGAGAGGUAUCAGCUUCCCUGCAACAUCAGCAGCAUCUAGAAUGGGUUGCCCAUAAUCGUUCCAGAGUCGGGCGAAGAAUUGAAGGAUUACGCUCAGAGGAAGGAGAUUCAUGGCGAGAAGGUUUGAGGAAAGGGGAAAGGGGAAAGGGGAAAGGGAAGUGGAAAGUGGAUGUCAGGAUGUGGAGCAGAUACUUCUCUGCCUUGGUGGACUUAGGCCGAAGGUUUAGACUCGGUCUCUCUUUUUUUUUCCUUAUGUUAUUUGUUUAUGUUUGAUAUGUUUGUAAACUUAGGCCAAGUCUAUCUAAUCUUGAUUUUGGAUGGGAUUUCACCAUCCUACUUCUUGAACAAGAAAAAAAAAAUGCAUCAUGAAGGGGAUAUAUGAAAGUAGAUGUUCUUGCCACCCUCUCUCAUUCUACUAUUGGUAGCCAAAAUAUGGAUAUGUUUUCUUCUUUGUUUAACUAGUUUAUUGCACGUAUUGCAUGUGGCCAGGGCACAGAGGAAGGAGAUCCGAGAAGGUUUGAGGAAAGGGGAAAGGGGAAAGGGGAAAGUGGAUGCAUACUUCUCUGCCUUGGCGGUCAAGCAUAUGCUCCCCUUUUUUUUAGUCUAAAGGAACUUGUGGUUGCAAGAGAAGCGGUCGACGGCUCUGUUUUGUAGUCCAAUGGUGGUUGUGGAAUUUUCUUUUGUCUUUUUUGUCUUUUUUGUCUUUUUUUUGGCAAUGCCAGUAUUUGGACAAACAUUAUAGUCAUAUUUAAAUACUAUCCGAUAGACAUCUG
rnacentral:lncRNA from 1 species